GGCUCUGUAGCUCAGUUGGUUAGAGCGCUGCACCGGAAUCACAGGGCCGCAGGUUCGAUGCCUGCCAGGGACC
rnacentral:tRNA from 1 species